rnacentral:tRNA from 1 species
UCUGAAAUAGCUCAGUUGGUAGAGCGUCAGAGUACAAAUCGAAAGUUCCUUGGUUCGAUCUCUGGUUCCGGCA